rnacentral:ncRNA from 4 species
UACGAAGGGGGCUAGCGUUGCUCGGAAUUACUGGGCGUAAAGGGCGCGUAGGCGGCACGAUUAGUCAGGCGUGAAAUUCCUGGGCUCAACCUGGGGACUGCGCUUGAUACGGUCGAGCUAGAGGAUGGAAGAGGGUCGCGGAAUUCCCAGUGUAGAGGUGAAAUUCGUAGAUAUUGGGAAGAACACCGGUGGCGAAGGCGGCGACCUGGUCCAUUACUGACGCUGAGGCGCGACAGCGUGGGGAGCAAACAGG